ensembl:lncRNA TDH L-threonine dehydrogenase (pseudogene)
AAAUUUGCUGACCUCUGCUCUGGAACGUCAGGCUGCUCCCUAUGUUGGUGAAUCACGUUUGUCAGAGCUGGGGAGCAGAAGUGGUAUUUGAAAAGAAAAUGCUGUUCAUUAGGAUGCUGAGGCGAGCGGGGCAGAGCCCAGCCUGUGGCUGUUGGACGCCUGUCCUGCCGGUCCGCUUUCUGGGCAUCUCCCCUCGGCAAAUUCCAGCAGAUGCUAACUUCCACUCUGCGUCUUUCUCUGACACAGACCAUCCACGAGUCUUAAUUACAGGGGCUCUUGGCCAGCUGGGAGUGGGGCUUGCUAAUCUUUUGAGGAAACGAUUUGGAAAGGACAGUGUGAUUUUGUCUGACAUAAGGAAACCCCCCGAUCAUGUCUUUCACAGUGGUCCAUUCAUUUAUUCUGAUAUCUUGGAUUACAAGAAUCUUCGGGAGAUCGUGGUAAACAACCGCAUCACCUGGCUGUUUCAUUACAGCGCUUUGCUCAGCGCCUUUGGAGAAGCAAAUGUUUCCCUGGCGAGAGCAGUGAAUAUAACUGGCCUGCAUAACAUCCUGGAUGUCGCUGCGGAACACAAUCUGCAAUUGUUUGUGCCUAGCACGAUUGGGGCUUUUGGACCCACCUCUCCCCGGAACCCAACCCCCGAUCUCUGUAUUCAGAGACCCAGGACCAUCUAUGGGGUGUCCAAGGUCCACGCGGAGCUCAUGGGAGAAACUAUGCAGUCCAGAUUUUCCAUGAUGCCACAAAGCAUGGCAAAUUCGAGUGCAACCUGGAAGCCUGCACGAGACUGCCCAUGAUGUACAUUGACGACUGCCUCAGAGCCACCCUGGAGGUCAUGGAGGCCCCAGCUGAGUCCCUUUCCAUGAGGACCUACAAUGUCAGCGCCAUGAGCUUCACACCCGAGGAGCUGGCCCAGGAGGUCCUCAAGCACGUGCCGGAAUUCCAGAUCACAUACAACGUGGAUGCCGUUCGCCAGGCCAUAGCGGAUGGUUGGCCGAUGAACUUUGAUGACAGCAAUGCUCGGAAGGACUGGGGGUGGAAACACGACUUUGAUCUUCCAGAGUUGGUGACUGCCAUGUUGAACUUCCAUGGUUCUGAAAGCAGAGUUGCCCAAGCCAACUGAAAGAAUCUGGAAGAGGAGCUCCUGUGUCCUGGUCCACUGUCAAGGGAGAACUGUCACAACUCCAAGGCUACCGGUGGUUAUUAGUUUUCUGCUCACAUGUUUGUGUGUGGCGUUGCUGGGAUGUGCCUUGUGUUGCUACACAAACAGCGAUCCCGAAGUCUGCCAGCAAGAUAGAUGGCCUGGAGUCCAGAACAGACUGGAUUAGUGAAAGCUACUGCAGUGCUUUGGACACUUACUAUG